rnacentral:rRNA from 1 species
AUUGAACGCUGGCGGCAGGCCUAACACAUGCAAGUCGAGCGGAUGAAGGGAGCUUGCUCCUGGAUUCAGCGGCGGACGGGUGAGUAAUGCCUAGGAAUCUGCCUGGUAGUGGGGGAUAACGUCCGGAAACGGGCGCUAAUACCGCAUACGUCCUGAGGGAGAAGGGGGGGGAUUUGGGGCCCCCCCCUUACCAGUUGCCCUAGGUCGGAUUAGCUAGUUGGUGGGGUAAAGGCCUACCAAGGCGACGAUCCGUAACUGGUCUGAGAGGAUGAUCAGUCACACUGGAACUGAGACACGGUCCAGACUCCUACGGGAGGCAGCAGUGGGGAAUAUUGGACAAUGGGCGAAAGCCUGAUCCAGCCAUGCCGCGUGUGUGAAGAAGGUCUUCGGAUUGUAAAGCACUUUAAGUUGGGAGGAAGGGCAGUAAGUUAAUACCUUGCUGUUUUGACGUUACCAACAGAAUAAGCACCGGCUAACUUCGUG